UACGUAGGGGGCAAGCGUUGUCCGGAUUUAUUGGGCGUAAAGAGCGUGUAGGCGGCCAGGUAGGUCAGCUGUGAAAACUCGAGGCUCAACCUCGAGACGCCGGUUGAAACCAUCUGGCUAGAGUCCGGAAGAGGAGAGUGGAAUUCCUGGUGUAGCGGUGAAAUGCGCAGAUAUCAGGAGGAACACCAAUGGCGAAGGCAGCACUCUGGGACGUGACUGACGCUGAGACGCGAAAGCGUGGGGAGCAAACAGG
rnacentral:rRNA from 1 species